AUUGAACGCUGGCGGCAGGCCUAACACAUGCAAGUCGAACGAGUGGCGGACGGGUGAGUAAUGUCUGGAAAACUGCCUGAUGGAGGGGGAUAACUACUGGAAACAGUAGCUAAUACCGCAUACCAUCGGAUGUGCCCAGAUGGGAUUAGCUAGUAGUUGGGGUAACGGCUCACCUAGGCGACGAUCCCUAGCUGGUCUGAGAGGAUGACCAGCAAGACUGGACGUGAGACACGGUCCAGACUCCUAGGGUAGGCAGAAGUGGGGAAUAUUGGACAAUGGGCGCAAGCCUGAUGCAGCCAUGCCGCGUGUAUGAAGAAGGCCUUCGGGUUGUAAAGUACUUUCAGCGGGGAGGCGUUACCCGCAGAAGAAGCACCGGCUAACUCCGUGCCAGCAGCCGCGGUAAUUC
rnacentral:rRNA from 1 species